rnacentral:rRNA from 1 species
UACGUAGGGGGCAAGCGUUGGUCCGGAUUUAUUGGGCGUAAAGAGCGUGUAGGCGGCCAUACAGGUCAGCUGUGAAAACUCGAGGCUCAACCUCGAGACGUCGGUUGAAACCGUAUGGCUAGAGUCCGGAAGAGGAGAGUGGAAUUCCCGGUGUAGCGGUGAAAUGACGCAGAUAUCGGGAAGAACACCUAUGGCGAAGGCAGCUCUCUGGGACGGUACUGACGCUGAGACGCGAAAGCGUGGGGAGCAAACAGG